GGCGCUUCUCGGCCUUUUGGCUAAGAUCAAAGUGGUUAGUAUCUGUUCUUAUCAGCUUAAUAUCUGAUACGAUCCCCAUGUGGGAUCUACGAUAUUAAAACUGAUUUUUUUGUGUCUUGGCGAAGUGCUAGGGGCCUUGCUCCACCUUGCCGCGGAUCGUCCCGGUAUUGCAGAUUGGAAUGGGGUCGUUCGGCGGUAU